rnacentral:rRNA from 1 species
UGCGCAGGCGGUUUGUUAAGACACGAGGUGAAAUCCCCGGGCGUCAACCUGGGAACGUGCCUUUGUGACUGCAAGGCUGGAGUGCGGCAGAGAGGGAUGGAAUUCCGCGUGUAGCAGUGAAAUGCGUAGAUAUGCGGAGGAACACCGAUGGCGAAGGCAAUCCCCUGGGCCUGCACUGACGCUCAUGCACGAAAGCGUGGGGAGCAAACA